rnacentral:rRNA from 1 species
GACGAGGGAUGCAAGCGUUAUCCGGAUUCAUUGGGUUUAAAGGGUGCGUAGGUGGCCUUAUAAGUCAGUGGUGAAAUCUCGAGGCUUAACCUCGAAAUUGCCAUUGAUACUGUAGGGCUUGAGUAUAGUUGCCGUUGGCGGAAUAUGACAUGUAGUGGUGAAAUACAUAGAGAUGUCAUAGAACACCGAUUGCGAAGGCAGCUAACGAAACUAUAACUGACACUGAGGCUCGAAAGUGCGGGGAUCAAACAGG